rnacentral:rRNA from 1 species
UACGUAGGGUGCGAGCGUUGUCCGGAAUUACUGGGCGUAAAGAGCUCGUAGGUGGUUUGUCGCGUUGUCCGUGAAAACUCACAACUCAAUUGUGGGCGUGCGGGCGAUACGGGCAGACUGGAGUACUGCAGGGGAGACUGGAAUUCCGUGGUGUAGCGGUGGAAUGCGCAGAGAUCGGGAGGAACACCUGUGGCGAAGGCGGACUCUCUGGGACGGUACUGACGCUGAGACGCGAAAGCGUGGGGAGCGAACAGG